GAGAAAAUGCUAGCUGGCGCGUGAUUGGUCAAUAAGAGAAAAGACUGGUUAUGUAUUUGACAAGUGAAAUAAAGUUGAUAAAAAUCUCAUAUCAAGACUUGGGUUUCUUUGAGGUAUAUAGGAGUUACAGCGAUGCAUUCUCAAGAAGGAAGACAUUAAUGAACCCUACCCUCUUACAAUGAACAACACAUGGAUACUCUCGGGAUGAUCCCUUUGCUUUCAUUAAGAGUUCCAAGAUGUGGGUCUGAUUGACUGGGGUGUGAAAUGUAACAGCCAAUGGUGUACUUAAGGAAAAACCCCUACAUAAACAAAUACAUGGGCGCAGACAUUUUGGACACCCAAAGUUGUGCGGAGGAGAAAAUGCUAGCUGGCGCGUGAUUGGUCAAUAAGAGAAAAGACUGGUUAUGUAUUUGACAAGUGAAAUAAAGUUGAUAAAAAUCUCAUAUCAAGACUUGGGUUUCUUUGAGGUAUAUAGGAGUUACAGGUAAAAAUUUGAAGGGAGGGAUGCACUUUGGUUAGAGAUUUUCAUUUGGUGUCAAACGCACCUAGUUGUAAACAAAUGGAAAUUGAAAGUAAAAGUGCAACGGCACGGUAUAUUUUUUCUGGCAUUUUUUGUUUUCCAAUAUCUCGAACUUUCACGACAAAAAGGUCAUUUGCCCGAAAUUCAAUAUAUGUAUCAGUGAGAGGGGCUAAAGUUUGUAUGGAAGUCUAUGGGAAAACAUUUGGUGG